CUUAGAUGGACUGACAUUCGGUCUCAAUAAUUUUAAUUAAACUCAAGAUUUUCAAGUCAUGUCCAACAGUCCAAGUAUCAAGAGUAAUAUGCAUAUACACUCUUGAUAUCCCACCCCUCUCUAGCUGAAUCUAUAACCAAAAAGUCACCAUUCUCACUCACAUCCUAGCUGAAUCUGUUCUUCCUUUCCUACACUCUUGAUCCAUUAUCAAUGGUUUGGAAUUUGUUUUUCUUCACUACGUUAAUCUUAGAGGCAAUCAUUCUCUUACAAUACGUGUUCACAGGUGCUUUCCAAGCUCCUUGGUAAAAAGGACAAGAACCCAGUUCAUUGAUCUGGUCUAAGAUUCCUUCUGCAAUUCUUUUUCUUCACUACUGCUUUAGAAGACCAAAAUCUGAUCAGUGAAGUGCAUUGAAAAUAUGCAAUGGGACCAUCAACAGGAGGAAGAACAAGACUCUCUGGAAUGCAGAAGCAAGUGCUUACUCUGUACCGGGGCUUCUUACGAGCAGCUCGUUCAAAGUCCCCUGAAGAUCGACGGCAGAUUGAAUCCUUUGUUUCAGCUGAGUUCCGCCGCAACUCCAAACAAGUAGAUCGCAAGAAUUUCAUCUACAUUGAGUAUUUGCUUCGCCGUGGUAAGAAGCAGCUUGAGCAGCUCAACAGUCCUGAUACUGUUGGAUUGUCAUAUAUGAAUGCCACUUUCUCUGAAACUGAAAAUCCCAAAAACUAAGUCGAGAUGAAUUACUGACAUCUGCGUAAUAUUGUGACAUCUUUUUUUUUUUGCAAUUUAUUUCUAGCUCAAACAAUUCUGUUCAUAAAACGACUGCAGUCAUUUUUUUCAGUUGUCUUAAGCAGGUUUGCAUGCCAUUGUUCUAUUGAGGCCGUGCUUGAUGUUUAAACCAAUGUUAGUUUCUUC